AGCCCCAUCGCCAAGCGGUAAGGCACAGGACUUUGACUCCUGCAUUCAGUAGUUCGAAUCUACUUGGGGCUG
rnacentral:tRNA from 4 species